GGGGGCGUAGCUCAGUUGGGAGAGCACCUGCCUUGCAAGCAGGGGGUCAGGAGUUCAAAUCUCCUCGUCUCCACCA
rnacentral:tRNA from 2 species